ensembl:snoRNA SNORA74 Small nucleolar RNA SNORA74
UCCAGCAGGAGUCAGCCAUCCCAGACACAUUCCUGUGAUGGUGUUACACCACUGGGAGUGUUAGGUCUCGUCUUCAACCACCUGCGUGGUCACUGAUCUGGUACAUGUAGCAAUGGUGUGAGGCAGAACUGUGCUUCCUUCAGAGUGUACUAAGCGUUUGGGUGCUUAGUUGUAGUGUGGGAGCAGCAGU